rnacentral:rRNA from 1 species
AUUGAACGCUGGCGGCAUGCCUUACACAUGCAAGUCGAACGGUAACAGGUCUUCGGAUGCUGACGAGUGGCGAACGGGUGAGUAAUACAUCGGAACGUGCCCGAUCGUGGGGGAUAACGGAGCGAAAGCUUUGCUAAUACCGCAUACGAUCUACGGAUGAAAGCAGGGGACCGCAAGGCCUUGCGCGGACGGAGCGGCCGAGGGCAGAUUAGGGAGUUGGUGGGAUAAAAGCUUACCAAGCCGACGAUCUGUAGCGGGUCUGAGAGGACGACCAGCCACACUGGGACUGAGACACGGCCCAGACUCCUACGGGAGGCAGCAGUGGGGAAUUUUGGACAAUGGGCGAAAGCCUGAUCCAGCCAUGCCGCGUGCAGGAUGAAGGCCUUCGGGUUGUAAACUGCUUUUGUACGGAACGAAAAGCCUCUUUCUAAUAAAGAGAGGUCAUGACGGUACCGUAAGAAUAAGCACCGGCUAACUACGUGCCAGCAGCCGCGGUAACAC